UCCAAAUGGUCCAAAAGGUUCUCCAAUGGUCCUUUCCCUGUUACAAUUGCUUGAACAAAAAACCCAAACAUUGAAAACAUUGCUAGUCUUCCAUUCUUGAUUUCCUUCACUUUCAACUCGGCAAAGGUAACCGGGUCGUCAGCAAGUCCCAACGGGUCAAAAUACUGACCACCCGGGUACAAGUUGUUACCAUCUCCAACACCAUCGAGCCCGUUGAUACGGAACCCUUCGACUAGGCCCAUUAGGACCACUUGAAAACCGAGUACUGCUAGUAUGCUUUGUGCGUGGACCAGGUUAGGGUUGCCCAAGUAGUCUAGCCCACCUUCUGAGAAGAUUUGGGAUCCGGCUUUGAACCAAACGGGCUCCUUGAAAUCCACUUUGACCCAUUUUGCAAGGACUUCGGGCGUGAUGGAGCCCAGUGCUCCGAGCAUUGCCCAUCGCCCGUGGAUCACCUCAAGAGCCCGGUUUUUAGCGAAUGCCUCGGGAUCAGCAGACAAACCAGCUGUAUCCCAACCAUAGUCGCCUGGGAAUUCACCGGUCAGGUAGGAUGGUGUUUGAGCCGAAAAUGGGCCCAAGUACUUCACACG
rnacentral:lncRNA from 1 species